CUGAGAGGAUGACCAGCCACACUGGAACUGAGACACGGUCCAGACUCCUACGGGAGGCAGCAGUGGGGAAUAUUGCACAAUGGGCGCAAGCCUGAUGCAGCCAUGCCGCGUGUAUGAAGAAGGCCUUCGGGUUGUAAAGUACUUUCAGCGGGGAGGAAGGGAGUAAAGUUAAUACCUUUGCUCAUUGACGUUACCCGCAGAAGAAGCACCGGCUAACUCCGUGCCAGCAGCCGCGGUAAUACGGAGGGUGCAAGCGUUAAUCGGAAUUACUGGGCGUAAAGCGCACGCAGGCGGUUUGUUAAGUCAGAUGUGAAAUCCCCGGGCUCAACCUGGGAACUGCAUCUGAUACUGGCAAGCUUGAGUCUCGUAG
rnacentral:rRNA from 1 species